GCAUAAUUUUAUCUUUCACAAAAAUGCAUAAAAUGAAAAUAUGAAAUACUUGGAUACCGUUAUCACGAAGCACGAACCCCUCUCUGUUUGUUAGAAUCGAUUUCUUCAACAGAAACAUGGCUAUGAUAAAAAAAAUUCGUUGUGAAAUGUUUUAUGGAAUAAUGGACUUCGAAAUGUUAUCACCGUCAUGGAUUCAAUUUAAUCCUUUUGUCUCUUUUCCGCCGUCAAUAACUCCUCCGCCGUGUCCUCAUUGCCGCUGAAUAUCAAGCUUCAGACAGCUAAGCAAUCUGAAAUGACGGGUAUUGGUCUCAUCAGUGAUACACCGGAGCAGUUCUGAUGUCCUGCACAGGCAGGAUGAAAAAGGAGAGCAAUCUCAGAAAAAUACAUGCCGAGAAGUUGUUGAAAGGGAAAAGCUAUUUCCCACGGUAAGCUUAGUCCAACAAGACUAACAAACGUGCCAACAGGCCUAGUUACCAUAAGAAAGGAAGGGAAAGCGAACCAGAGAAGACCAUUUCACGAGAGCUGAAAGAAGAGUGAAUUAAAUUACCUCAGGGUGACUGAACUGCAGGGAUUUCUAUUCCAAUUGGUACAUUAAUUUCAUUUAUAAUGAUAGUUCCCCCUCCUCUUGUUUGGGUCUAGUUUCAGAAUUCUAUCAUGGCCGUUCAUGUUAUAGACUGGAGUUUGCUGAAGGGACCUAUAACUUGGAAGUCAAAAUUCACUUGGAUUAACUGGUUAAUUAUGAUUAUAGUUAUUUUUUUUUAUAACCAGUUAUUUUGAUCACCCCUAAUUAACCCCGUAGUUGUCCCAAUUUUUCCAGACUUAUGCUAAAUGCUAUCUUGCGGAAGUAAAAGUUUUAAUUGUUACCGUUUUAUUUUUCUCCUAACUUGGGGGGAGGAGGAUAGCUUCAAACACAACAUUGUUUUCUCCUUUGAACAUGCUUGAAUUUAUUACUCUAGCAUUUAUUUUUCUUGUAGCUCUAUGCCUUCGCUUUUAUUGAUCAUGUUAGCAUUUUAUUUGCUUUAAAUUGUGAAGCAUUAAGUGUACGGAUGACAGAUGUGACCAU